UUUAUUGCAAGCUAUGCAGAGCAAUAAACAUAAAAGAAAUCCGUUUAUGGCUAACUUUGUGACAUUCCUGAAAUCUCAAUACAUUGUAACUAAGCAGUAAACACACAUACAUAGGUAAGUGCAACCUACAAACCCCUAGAACCUGGAAUAUCAAUCCAUUGCAGCUGGAGUUCCACCUCGCCGCACUCUACAUUUCGCAGUCUAAGAAAUAUGUUCUGAACCACCUUGCCAUUAACCCAGAUAAUCUGGCUUUCUUCAGCUAGGCAAUUUUGCCUGCUUGGUGAGAUUCUUGUUAUUAUGGUUCCGUUGGGGAGGCCUUCUAGGUGCAUCUUUACGGCUUCCAGAAAUGGACCGAUAUCAAACUCUGCAUCUCCCAUUUUGUCAUCUGGGCUGAAUGUGUCCUUGUCAUAAACUUCAAUUGUGAUUGGAAGAUUUGGGUUAUCAAUGGAAAGAGUUAAGUCUUCAUUCCACUCAGGAUUGACAUUUUUCUUCACCACACGAGUCUUCAGUUUCUGUUUGCCCCUCUUGACCAGAACAUAAGGGUCACUGCUCAUCACAUCUCUGACAGCAAGAUUCACCCCUUUGUGUACAUGAAUUCUGAGAAGCCCCAACAGGUUUUCCAUAUCGAGAAAUGGAAGAAGAUGAAGAAAAGUCGCAGAAAGAAUAAGACAACGACGAGAAAAAGAAAAGCAAGAAAACAAGAAAUGAAUGGAUGAUUGGAGUGCUCAAAUUCAGCGAGAAAAGAUCAAACAGUGACGUAGUUUUUUCUUGGCUUCAUGUGUAGCAAGUCGAUUGGUG
rnacentral:misc_RNA from 1 species